rnacentral:tRNA from 1 species
GCGUAGCUCAGUUGGCAGAGCAUUGGGCUAGUAUUCCAAAGGUCGUAGGUUCGAUUCCCACCGU